ensembl:lncRNA
GGGGCAGGUAGCCUAGUGGUUAGAGUGUAGAGGGGGCAGGUAGCCUAGUGGUUAGAGUGUAGAGGGGGCAGGUAGCCUAGUGGUUAGAGUGUAGAGGGGGCAGGUAGACUAGUGGUUAGAGUGUAGGGGAGGCAGGUAGACUAGUGGUUAGAGUGUAGGGGAGGCAGGUAGACUAGUGGUUAGAGUGUAGAGGGGGCAGGUAGCCUAGUGGUUAGAGUGUAGAGGGGGCAGGUAGACUAGUGGUUAGAGUGUAGGGGAGGCAGGGAGACUAGUGGUUAGAGUGUAGAGGGGGCAGGUAGCCUAGUGGUUAGAGUGUAGAGGGGGCAGGUAGCCUAGUGGUUAGAGUGUAGGGGG